GAGGAAUAUUGGUCAAUGGGCGCAAGCCUGAACCAGCCAUGCCGCGUGAAGGAUGAAGGCCCUAUGGGUUGUAAACUUCUUUUGUACGGGACGAAACCCCUGAACGUGUUCGGGGCUGACGGUACUGUACGAAUAAGCAUCGGCUAACUCCGUGCCAGCAGCCGCGGUAAUACGGAGGAUGCAAGCGUUAUCCGGAUUCAUUGGGUUUAAAGGGUGCGUAGGCGGGAAAAUAAGUCAGUGGUGAAAGCCUACAGCUUAACUGUAGAAUUGCCAUUGAUACUGUUAUUCUUGAGUAUAGUUGAAGUGGGUGGAAUGUGUGGUGUAGCGGUGAAAUGCUUAGAUAUCACACAGAACGCCAAUUGCGAAGGCAGCUCACUAAGCUAUUACUGACGCUGAGGCACGAAAGCGUGGGGAUCAAAC
rnacentral:rRNA from 1 species